ACUCACGUAAUGGCUGUUAACAUUACCCAUUUGGCGCCAGAGAGCAGCAAACGCACAUUUUUCAAAGGGAUUCACUUUAGUUCUUGUUCCCCCUUUUAUUACCGCACUGAUAAGUUUAAGUUAAAAAAUACACUUAAAGUGGGUCCGUAACGUUAAACCUUUCUACAUGCCGAGAAACCCGGGAAGGUCAGGCUACAAGCUAUUAACGUUAGCUAACAGCUAGCGUUAGCUAGUCACUUUACAUCGGUUAGGUUCGAAUGUUCGUGGCCACAAACUCACGAGAAAGUCAAACAAGAAAAGCAUCUGAUGCAUCACGCAUUUAUAUUGAUAGCAUCAACACUAGUUAGAUAAUUAUUUUCACUUAAAUGAGUCUACUAAUGUUAACCUAGCCUUAAUGGUGUAGGCAACAUUAAGCUAACGUUAGCAGCUAUAAGCCUCAGUUAACAUUUUAUUGAGACAGCAGACAGCCAACUACUUUUCUUGGUGGCAACUAAAUCCUGUUAAAGUGAAAAUAUGUAUUAUGAAUUUAAAACGUUUACUUACUGAAAACGUAGAGCCUUGGAUACGCAGACAGCCAGGAGAUAGAGCAAAUCCGCGUCCUCCAGGGGCGGUUUGUGGUCGCACAUGCGCAGAUGUGGAAGUUGAAUGUGGGUUUAAAAUGUACACGUGUUUUUCAUGUAACCUAUAAAUGACGGAAAUGAGCUUUUCGUAAACCAUGGAAGAAUGUGUUAAGCUUAAUUAAAAAAGCUAAUUCAAUAACACGUUCAAAUCAGUGAAAUGACCUUGCAUAAAUCAAGUAAUAUUUAAAAGCGGUCCGAAUCGUUUUUCUCCAGGAGCCAGUGGAAGGUUCUGCCCUGGUAGCGACCCAACUGCACCUUCCACCGGCUCAGGACCAGGGCGGCGCUGGUGGUGCCACCGCCCUCGGAGACGUUUUUUAUGCUUGUUAUUCCACAUAAAUGACAAAUGACACAAUUCUACUGGACUGUUGAAUGACACAUGAAUAAAACACGCUGCUGUUCGUUGUAAUAAAGUAACGUUAUGACUUGGUAAUAACUGGUGUUGUCAACACGUGACGCAUCACCGAUGCUAUAAAGUCACGUAAGCUCCGUCACCAAUAAACCACGCAAACGUCCGCAGAAACACGGAGAGACGUGACCGUUAGCUCCCACACGCGUUCCAUUCAGCGUAUUAAAUACAGUUAGUAAUAAUAACCAUAACUCGUGGCUAAAGUUACGCGUGUGACGUCACGGCCGCCGCUGGCAUCGAUCGGCAACAGGCAAUCUUGCAGCUCAAGGCAAGGCGGAGGUCACCGGUAAUGUGGGCAUACCCACGAUCUGACCACUGGUGGGACACAACAACAACAAGCAGUGCACGAUCGGUUGUGGAGAUGUCGUUUGGGAGAUUGAAAGGACGAUGGAGGUGCCUCCUAAAAAGAGCUGCAUUAAUGAUGCAUUUUAACAGAGGGAACGAGUGAUUCUUUGAAUACACCAAAGCUAUAUUUGUUGCAAUACUUUUGUAACACUGCAGUUUGUGUUUAUUGAAAUCUACACUUUUAUAUUGUAUUACAUUCUCAUCCAUUAAAUGAACCAUGUAAUCUCUAAAACGUGCAUUUUGUGAAUCAUUUAUCAAUCAUCCUCAAUCAACAACCCUUUCACACUUCUGGCCCGGAUUAAAACCAACCAAGUUUUUAUUAACUUCCAAUCAUGAAGUAAUUUGGAUUUUAAUCAUAUUUCAUGUCGAAAUAAUAUAGAUUUGUAUAUGCAGCUAAUCGCAUCACUUGGCUGUUUAAUGUACACAUUUAUAUAAAAGUAAAUUGCAUUAAAAACAAACACAAACCAUAAGGCAAUAUUUGCCUGUUAAGUGUUUAAGAAAC
ensembl:lncRNA